rnacentral:rRNA from 1 species
UACGUAGGGACCGAGCGUUGUCCGGAAUCAUUGGGCGUAAAGAGCGUGUAGGCGGCUAUUUAAGUCCUGCGUGAAAUCCUGCGGCUCAACCGCAGACGGUCGUGGGAAACUGGAUGGCUAGAGUGCGGGAGAGGAGAGUGGAAUUCCCGGUGUAGCGGUGAAAUGCGCAGAUAUCGGGAAGAACACCCGUGGCGAAGGCGGCUCUCUGGAACGCAACUGACGCUGAGACGCGAAAGCGUGGG